rnacentral:tRNA from 1 species
GGGUUGGUAGCUCAGACCGGUAGAGCAACGGACUUUUAAUCCGUGGGUCGGGGGUUCGAUUCCCCCCCAACUCA